GUUGUCCAACACAACCUGCCCUGACAGUAUCAGAACAAGUAAACACUAUAGAUAAGAAUUUAAAAUACCAACCUAAAGAUGCUGAAGCUGAUCGUCCUGUCCUGCCUGGUGGCCUGCGUAGUGUGUCAAUCUUACCGACCAAUCGGAGGAAGACGUGACUCCUUCCUGUUAGACGGUAUCAUUGGUAACAGUUGGGAUACUGGAUUGGAUCGUUGGGGAUCCGAUCGCUGGGGUAAUGACGCAUGGAAUCGUGAUAUAUACGGAAGUGACGUGUACCGACAUGGAGACAGAAGGUGGAGAAACAGGAGAAUAGACAGAUAUUGAUGUAGAGGCCAUGAAGUGUGGAAAAGAUCCAUGUGGCCAAAGAUUGAAAUUGAAAAAUCCAUUUAAAAGUGAAUUCUUUCAUUGUUACACUCAUUUGUAAAUUCAUAUGCGCCCAUGUAAAUAAACUCAUAUUCAAUAUAAACAUA